rnacentral:rRNA from 1 species
GCCUACGGCCAUACCACGUUGAACACACCGGUUCUCGUCCGAUCACCGAAGUUAAGCAACGUCGGGCCCGGUUAGUACUUAGAUGGGUGACCGCCUGGGAACACCGGGUGCUGUAGGCA